UUUAUAAAAUGAUAAUUACCAAAUAAAAAAGCAUUUUAAUUUACGAUAAUAUAUUAACAAAUCUAAUUAUUUAUUUAAGAUAUGAAGACUUUAUAACACAAUAUAAAUUAUUUUUAGACAAUGAUAAUUAUAAAUCAAUAAAAUUUCUUUUUAAUUAAUUGUUAAUUAUAUACUAACAAAUAUAUUUAUUUAUUAAGGAUUAUAAAUAUUUUAGUGGCUUUAACUUUAAGUAUGAGAGUUCAGAGGCAAAAAAUCACUAUACAAAUUACAAUAUAGAGUAUUAAAAUAAAUAUAAAUUAAUUAAAUAAAUAAAAGUUUAACUAUACCAAACAAUCCGCGCGUAGCACAGAUAAAAGAUCUAAGAAGUCAACAAAUAAAGAACCGGUAUACAAGUCGGUGUUACUUUCUUUUAAAGACAAGUACAAAAAUAAAAUUUAAUAAUUUUAAAACCAAUCAAAAUUUAUACAGUACUAAUUAUAAGCUUUGCAAUUGUUUUACAUAAAAAUAAAUAACGAAGAUAAAGAAUAUAUAUAGAUCUUAACUUAUAAUUUAGUUAACUUUUUAUUAAUAUUACUAAUAUCCUAUAUAAAACUCCAAUAAACACACAACAAUUUAUUUCAAAUAUUUUUUAAAUUUGCAUUUAUGUUUAUAAUUCUAUAACAAGUUUCAGUGUAUAUCAUAUUUGUUCUAUUUUAAAAUAUAAAUAUAAAAUUAAACAAAUAUUAUAGGAAAAAAUCCGGGCGGAAAACCCCCUAGUCUAUAUUAUAAUCGGACAGUAAGCUGUCCACGUGUCCACCUUUGUGGAUCCCACCGAAAAUAUGUAUUUGGGUUUAAUGAAGAUUUUGUGUGUUUAUGGCCCAAAUAAGCCUCUUUGGUCUGUUAACUUCCUCUUCGAUGGAAAUCUAUCGCUUCAGCCUCCUCUGAAACACAAGUGAUCCUUUCAAUUUCCACGAAUCGAUGUAUCUUCUUCUAACCCUACUUCUCUUUACCAUGUUCAUCAUUAAAAGUUCUGAAUCGUUACACCUUUGUACUUCCUCCCUAUAUAUGCUUAUAUUAAAUUUUGGAACCCUGCAUCUCAAAUACACUCAUCGUUUAUCUCCCCGGCUAGGAUUAUAACAACUAGUCCAAAAUGAAGAUAGGAGGGUAGAAUCAUGUUGGAAGCGUAAAAUAUGAAGACGUAGAAUAGUGCCAUAGCUAGCGACGCAGGAUACCACUACCGCAGGCAUCGAGAUGUCUCCAUGGGAAGCCAUGUUCAGAAGAUAGUGAAGGAGAUGGUAAAGCUCCAACGAAAAAUUCACUGGCUAAACGUACAGUGAAUUUUUCAAUCAGUAGUUGCAGUCUAAAUCUGAACCAAGUCUUUCCAUAUUCUAGAUCUAGAAGUAUAUACUGUCAAAAUCAACCAGAUGAAAUAAUUUAGUGGAUGCAUGUCAAGUAGAUUUACGAGGCUACAAAGUGUUCACUGUACAUGGCAGGGAAAAAGUCUACUUAACGUUCAGUUGUAACACUGGUGGUGAUAUGGGCAUGAACAUGGUAACCAAAGGUGUGCAUACUGUUAUUGACUACCUCACCUAUGAUUUCCCAUACAUGGAUGUGAUCGGAAUCUUUGGUAAGUUCCUUUGUGUAUGUUAUUGGUUUGAUAUGAUCGUAUUAUUAGACUGCAGUUUGUAAAACGAUUCGAGUGGAAGUUUAGUAAACUUAGUAACCACUCGAAACUGUUUUGAGCAUAUUAGUAAAAAGUGAAAACGAGUGUGGCUGUCUUGGUGGAGCUCAAUAUGCUCAAUAAAUUCUCACGCCAGCAACAUAGUGUUUGAUGAAUUCAUAGCUACUUGCCAAGAUCCAGCUCAAAACAUUGAGAGCUCACAAUGCAUCACAAUGAUGGUAGCCAUUAAUGGUAAAGAUAUACAUAUCUCUACUACCACACCAUCUAUUGAGUUUCGGGUUGGGACAGUGAGAUAAGGAACACAGUUUCCGUCUCAAUCGACUUGGUUAAACCUCCUAUGCGUUAAAGGAACGAGCAUGGAGCCGAUGGGGAUGAACUCAAGGACGGUAGCUAUGAUAGUGGCAUGAGCAGUUUUGGCCCGAGAGUUAUCUCUAAUAUCAGCAAUUGCAGCUGGGCAACUUAUAAGUAGUCACAUGAAAUACAAUAAGAUCCAUCAAAGACAUCUCUGGAACAACGACAUGGACGGCAACAAUGUUAUCUGAAUCUUACCUUUACAAAAAAUAUUGAGUGUUUCAACAUUGUGCAGAACACAUAGCGUUUUAGUCUGUACAUUAAUCUUUUCAAGAAGUUGGAGGGAGCAAGAGCAUGUAAGUUUAUACAUCUAUCGUCUUCCAAAACCAAAACAAAAA